CUUUACCACUUCCUGAUGAUGUGUUUUUCAGUGUUUCAGUAUUUUGGAGUUGGAGCUCAUCUUCCAGUCAUAUAGAUCUUUUUGUGAAUUUAUCACACAAGGAAAUAUCUAAUUGCAUAUGAUACCUGUGACCAAAUGACAUCUGCUACUCUCCAUUUCUUAGAGAUGAGGAAAUAAAACCACAAAAUGUAUAAAGCGAGAUCAAAAAUCCAGAUCUUUGGAUUCAGUACAUUUCCUUCUGAAGCUCUGCAGUUACGCACAGAUCCCAUAGAAGCCUAGACUAUUUGAGGGAAAUUAAUUUAGGCAAGAAUGAUCAAAUUUAAGCACCUCAUUUCACAGAUGAGCAAAGUAAGGUAUGAAAAAUUGAAAUACCUGUGACCUGAUACAAGAACACAGGCAUUCAGGCUCUAGUUGGGAUUCUCUCCACUACUCCAUGGGAUCUCCACUGUGAACCUCCUACAGGUCCUGGUAAACAGCUUUGGAAGAGUAACAGGAAGAAUCUCUUGAUGAAGAAAUUCCCAACUGGGUUCAAGUGAAAAAAAUUUCUUGAAUCUAUUUUGUGAAACAAUUUCAAUUUCUGGGUUUAAUCAUCCUAAAUUAGUCUAUUCAGCAAAGUUUUGGGGCUUCAGAUCACAUAAAUAUGACAAUCUCAUUCCAAAUUUGUGUCUACAUAUUUCAGAGUCAUUUGUAUAAUGAAUCUAUUUGACUUUCCACUUUGAUUAUGAAAUUAACCAGAUAACUCUCAGAUUUCUACCUGCUUAGUAUGAUUGCCAGUCACAAUGAUCUUCU
ensembl:lncRNA